rnacentral:rRNA from 1 species
AGUGAACGCUGGCGGUAGGCCUAACACAUGCAAGUCGAACGGCAGCACAGUAAGAGCUUGCUCUUACGGGUGGCGAGUGGCGGACGGGUGAGGAAUACAUAGGAAUCUACUUUUUCGUGGGGGAUAACGUAGGGAAACUUACGCUAAUACCGCAUACGACCUACGGGUGAAGGCAGGGGAUCUUCGGACCUUGCGCGAUUGAAUGAGCCGAUGUCGGAUUAGCUAGUUGGCGGGGUAAAGGCCCACCAAGGCGACGAUCCGUAGCUGGUCUGAGAGGAUGAUCAGCCACACUGGAACUGAGACACGGUCCAGACUCCUACGGGAGGCAGCAGUGGGGAAUAUUGGACAAUGGGCGCAAGCCUGAUCCAGCCAUACCGCGUGGGUGAAGAAGGCCUUCGGGUUGUAAAGCCCUUUUGUUGGGAAAGAAAAGCAGCAGGUUAAUACCCCGCUGUUCUGACGGUACCCAAAGAAUAAGCACCGGCUAACUUCGUG